AGCCUACAACCUCAUGAAGAUGCCGGAGAGUAGCGGCGUCCUCACCGUAGCCAGGGACACCAAAGAAGCCCUGACGGCUCUCGAGCUCGCCUUCAGGGCCGCCGCCGCGGCACGCCCGGCCGACGGAGCCCCAGAUACAAAGCACAAAAUAACCAGGACGCUAUGACAAUAUGUCGAUGGACUGGAUAUUCCAAUGUAUUUGUGACAUUCACAUGCAACACAGUUUAGUCAGAAAUUCAAUCAAUGCUACAAGAAGUAGGCCAAACAGCAUCAGAAAGACCUGAAAUUGUUGACCAAGUGUUCCACAUAAAGCUCAAGGAGUUCGUGAGAGACAUAAGAGAAAGGUAAUACUUUAGAAAAACACUCGCAAGUAAUACCCAACUACUUGAUCACACCUCUUACUAUAUCCCUAUAGAAAAAUAACUAACGGUUAUUUCAAAAUUGCAGUUAUAUACACAAUAAAGUUCCAAAAAAGGGAUCUCCCACAUGCCCACAUAGUCAUAUUCCUUGACAGAAAGGAAAAGAAACACAAGUACCCCGAACCAUCAGAGGUAGAUAGGAUAACAUGCACUGAAAUUCAAGACUAGUUGAUCCAUAAGGAUAUGUAGUGGUUGAGAACUACAUGUUGCAUGGACCAUGUGGCAUGGUCGACAACACAUGUAUAAGAAAGUUCCCUAAAAAAUAUGACAGUAAUACCACUGUAGGUGAAGAUGGAUAACCAGUAUAUAGAAAACGAUAAGAUCAAUAGGUGCCUCAAGUACACGUACAUAUCAGGCAAUGACGUGUGUUGAAGAAUAUUUCAGUUCAAAAUGCACUUUCAAGAUCCCUGCAUCGAAAGGUUGCGUUUCCACCUAGAGAAUGAGCAACAAAUCAUUUUAACUGAUUAUACAGAUUUAACAAAGAUCGUAAGGAAAGAAAGAGUGGGAAUAACAAAAUGUACAUAGUGGAUGGAGACAAACAAGAUCCCGUGAAGCAAGAGAAUUAACAUAUGCAGAGUUCCCGUUAAAAUGGGUAUGGAAGAAAAAAGAGAAAAAGUGGGGCAAAACAAAGAAAGGAAGAUACGCUGGAAUGAUAUAUAUGCUCAUACAACAAAUGGUGAAAAAUACUACAUGCGAAUGCUACUUAACGCCCGCAAAGGAUGCAUGUCUUUCAAAAGGAACCGUAAAUGGAGUUGUCCACACUUCAUACAAAUCUGCUUGCGAAGCACUAGGAUAUCAACGACAGAGUGGAUUGAGUGCAUAAAUGGGGCAUCAGACUGGGUGAUUGGCUACCAGCUAAGACAACUGUUCACAACUCUUAUGCCAUUGAAGUCACAAGCCCAAAAAUAUUGUGGGGGACAUGCUCAGAAGUUCUAAGCGAACACAUGGAGUAUAGGCAGAGAAGGCUCUUGAACUAUCCUACACUUUGACUAACAGAUACACAGAAGCAAGGAUACGCCUUGGUGAAAGUAGAUAAGCUCAUGAGACAAGCUGGAAAGACAUUUAAGGAAUACCCCGGAAUACAACAUUCGGAUUCUUCACAGAUAAAGUAACUUGGAAACAAACUACUCAAUGAAGAGAUAACAUCAUUCCAGGAUCUUUGGCAAUAUGAACUCUGAACAACUACAUGCGUUUGAUUCAGUAAUGGAAUCGAUGAACAAAAAUUUGGGAAAGAAUAUAUUUGUGGACGGCUAUGGCGGGAUCUGUAAGACAUACCUACGGAGGCAAUCACAGCAAAGUUGUGUUCCGAAGGAAAGAUAGUACUAGUAGUGGUGUCAUGUCAUAUUGUAGCGCUGCUUCUAUAGGGAGCACACUCGAGGUUCCACAUCCCCCUAUCCUUGCAGAAGAGUCAACAUGUUAAGGUUCCCACUUGACCUACUAAAAAAGACUUCACUUAUACUACGGGAUGAAGGUCUAAUGGCAAACAAGAUAUGCUUUGAGGCACUAGACAGAAGUAAAGGUAGUACUAUAUUGUCCUAAACAAGUGUUCACAAAUGGAUAGCUACACGUAGCAUUAUCAAGAUUCACAAGAAGAGAUGGACAAUGUGUAAUGGUAAAUGAUGAAGAUAGCAAAGAGGAUGAUGUGGUCAAGAACAUUGUCUAUACUGAACUAUUUUAAAGGUAUGGAAAAACAAAAACACUUUUAGUAUGAUUCUUAGAUAAGAAUAGGUACAUGAAAAAUUUGUACACUGCAAACUAUCUUCAAAAUACAAAUUAAUAGCAUACCAAUGCUAACAUGAUAUGGCAGGACAAAUAUGGUCCACUGCUCUGCGUAAGUACUGGAAACGUGCAUCAACAUUUGAAGGAAAUAGUUAAUCAAUACCAAACAUGUACACUAUAUUUUCUGAUAUUUGUGGCUUAAUAUAUAGUACAACACAAUAUAAAGAGCAUCUGUGCAUCAUUAUAAUUUGUAUGACAAUGCGGUCAGACCUAUUUUACUACUCUAUUAAUAUAAAUACAUUUUUGUCUUUGGGAAAUAUUAAACUAGAGUUACUCACAAUUACACUGAUUAAUACAUAUAUUUGUUCAAUAUGAAUUGGGGUAAGGUUUUUAUUAUUUAUAUGUGUUAAAUAUGAAUUGGAGUAAGGGGGGCUAAUACUGCCGAUUACGGUCCAAGCCUGGAAAGAAGUGGAAGGGGCAUAAGAAAAUAAACAUUUUCCACUAACAGGCAGUACCUUAAUCACAUUAUAUUGGUAUAUACAACCGUACAAACAUAAUAAAAGGUUAAUAAAAAAUCGCAAUCAGGAAAAGGAGAAAGGGGAACCUGUAGGACGAAGAAAGCUGCCGAUGUGGAGGAAGACGACGAUGUGUCUGGCUGCCUCGACUGGGAACGACGACGAUGCGUCUGGCUCGCGCGCUAGGGGAAGACAACGCUGCCGCCAUCCUCAUGCUGAAGAUGGAUUCAAGCUGGCAGCGGAAGACAAGAUCCAAGCCCACAUCACAUGCGAGUCGAGCUGGGAGGUGCCUCAGUCGAGGACGAGCAAGCUAAAGGGAGAGCAAACUGAUGGUAGCUGAGUUACCAGUCGGAUCUCAUUCGGUCGUAGGAAUUUUGGAAUGAGCGAGCGGAGAGAAGAAGGAAAGGAGAAAGGGGAUCGGGCAAGAGUACGAUUUUUUAUUUGUAGGGAAGCAACUGCAAUACGUUUCUUUUAGCGGUGCAAGAGCUACAUGCUCACAUGUGAAGGUACGGUCUGAGCAAGAGAGAAAAUGUGUGAG
rnacentral:lncRNA from 1 species